GAUGAACGCUAGCGGCAGGCCUAAUACAUGCAAGUCGGACGGGAUUGUGGAGCUUGCUUCACAUGAGAGUGGCGCACGGGUGCGUAACACGUAUGUAACCUACCCUUGUCAGGGGGAUAGCCUCUCGAAAGAGAGAUUAAGACCGCAUAACAUUGUUUUGUGGCAUCACAGAACAAUCAAAUAUUUAUAGGACAAGGAUGGGCAUGCGGAACAUUAGCUAGUUGGUAAGGUAACGGCUUACCAAGGCUACGAUGUUUAGGGGAUCUGAGAGGAUGGCCCGCCACACUGUUCCUGAGACACGGACCAGACUCCUAGGGGAGGCAGCAGUAAGGAAUAUUGGUCAAGGGGCGGAAGCCUGAACCGGCCAUGCCGCGUGCAGGAAGACGGCCCUACGGGUUGUAAACUGCUUUUACAGGGGAAUAAACCUCGGUACGUGUACCGAGCUGAAUGUACUCUGAGAAUAAGGAUCGGCUAACUCCGUGCCAGCAGCCGCAGUAA
rnacentral:rRNA from 1 species